GCUGAUGACUUUGAUGAAAACACGGGUAGAUUUUUGGAGCCCCAUUGCUGGAAAAAUAAGAAGACAUCAGAAGGGUUUUCAAAAUAUGAUCUGGCAGCCAUUUAAAGCCUGAAGACACUGGCCUUUCAACACUGUCUUGUUGCCUUUGUUCCCACACCAUAAAGAACAUGGAGAAGAUAAGAGAAAUAGUCAUGGAUUGAUUUCAGGAGUGUCAUUUCAUGAAGAUGACAAAUUAAAACUUGAGGUUGAAGUUGAGAGAAGAUCUGAGUCUGAGCCAAGACUGCCCAAGAGUGAUAUUGAGGUUUUGUGAAGAUCAUAAACAAGUACUUUAACAGCAUGCUGAAGGGAAACUUCAUACACCUUGUAAAUGUUACAAAUCUAUUUAAAUAACAUUCAGAUCUGGGUAAUUCAUGUAUAUUUCUACAAAGAUUAAUCAUCCACAGACUUAAAAUACCAAUAUGGUUAAAACUCAUUUACUUUGACAAAGGAAUUCAACCUGGGCAGAUUAUAAUUGAAGAAAAUGAUUGACUAAACUGAGUAAACACAAUUUCCUGAUAGCUUUUAAGUUUUUAAACACACUGUACAACAUCCAUAAUGGCAUAUCAUUAACAUUAUAUGCUGCUGAUAUAAUAAAUACCAAAAUGUCCAAUGAUUUUGUGAUUCUGCUCUUCCGACACAAAACUUGUGUUACUAACUUAAGUCCAAAUAACAUUUAGUUUUGUUUUGUUUUUCAGAUUGAAGAUGAAUUUUUCACAAUGUGUGUGGUGUAAAAAGUCUAAUAUCAAGCCACAUUUGAGAAGAAAAUUAACAGAUGACACUUUCAGACAGCAUUUAGAGAAAGAACUAAAACAGACAAUUACUAAAGAUUGUAUUAUAUGUGAAAAAUGUAGAACACAUGUCAGGAGGAAGAUAAAAUCAACAGAACCGGAAAACUCUGAUCAGUCAUUCAUAUAUCUGAGUCCUAAAAAUAUUGAACUAAAUAUAUCAUCAACUUCAUCAACUCAUCGAGUUUAUGCGGUUUGUAAGAAAGUGAGUUCAUCACGAAAUCCAUUUAUUGUCAUUCCGAAUGAUGCAAGAAAUCAAGUUUUAUCUUUCAA